UAGGUCAUAGGAUCACAUGCACUAUUGUUAGAAUAAAUAUGAAAAAAAGGCCAACUUGGUAAUAUUAAUUGCAAAGGAGAAUCAAAUUUCCAGUAUAAAUAUGAUGCAAGAGAGACUGAGUUCUCACACUUCUCUAUAUUUUCAUAGGUGAAUACUCAAAAGGUUAAGUGGGAAGUAGUUAGAUGGUUAGCAAAGUUAGUCUGCUGAGUGUUCUGGCAUGGCUCCUGGUGGUGGCAUCAAUUGUCAUCUGCUCAAAUGCAGCUGCAGGGACUCCUGCUGAUAAGCUUAAGUUUGAUAACGUGGUUUAUCCUCAAGCAGGUUGUCGCUGCUGCUACUUUAUCAGGGACAAAAAUGGGUUUCUCCAAUGUGGGUCUGCGUGCUGUGUUGACGGUUGCUGCGGUUGAAAUGUGUUUACUCACUGCACACUGUGCAAGGGAAUAAUAAGCCGGAGAAUUUCCUCAAGAAUGUCUGUUUUUUGUUUUAAUGUUAUGAAGUCUUGAUCUAUAAAGAAGUUUCUUUCCUUAAAUGGUUUUCUCAUGUAAGGAAGUGCAUUGUGUAAGAUCAUGAAUAAUAUGUACUGCAAUUAGCGCAACAGUGCUUCACGCACUACAACAAAGCUCUUAUUUACAGGUA